CGGACGGGUGAGUAAUGUCUGGGAAACUGCCCGAUGGAGGGGGAUAACUACUGGAAACGGUAGCUAAUACCGCAUAAUGUCGCAAGACCAAAGAGGGGGACCUUCGGGCCUCUUGCCAUCGGAUGUGCCCAGAUGGGAUUAGCUAGUAGGUGGGGUAACGGCUCACCUAGGCGACGAUCCCUAGCUGGUCUGAGAGGAUGACCAGCCACACUGGAACUGAGGCACGGUCCAG
rnacentral:rRNA from 1 species